UACGAAGGGGGCUAGCGUUGUUCGGAAUUACUGGGCGUAAAGCGCGCGCAGGCGGUCUUCCAAGUCAGUGGUGAAAGCCCGGAGCCUCAACUCCGGAACGUGCCAUUGGAAACUGUUAGACUUGAGGAUGAGAGAGGUGAGUGGAAUUCCCAGUGUAGAGGUGAAAUUCGUAGAUAUUGGGAAGAACACCGGUGGCGAAGGCGGCUCACUGGCUCAUUUCUGACGCUCAGGCGCGACAGCGUGGGGAUCAAACAGG
rnacentral:rRNA from 1 species